UGGGGAAUAUUGCACAAUGGGCGAAAGCCUGAUGCAGCGACGCCGCGUGAGGGAUGACGGCCUUCGGGUUGUAAACCUCUUUCAGCAGGGACGAAGCGCAAGUGACGGUACCUGCAGAAGAAGCACCGGCUAACUACGUGCUAGCAGCCGCGGUAAUACGUAGGGUGCAAGCGUUGUCCGGAAUUACUGGGCGUAAAGAGUUCGUAGGCGGUUUGUCGCGUCGUUUGUGAAAACCAGCAGCUCAACUGCUGGCUUGCAGGCGAUACGGGCAGACUUGAGUACUGCAGGGGAGACUGGAAUUCCUGGUGUAGCGGUGAAAUGCGCAGAUAUCAGGAGGAACACCGGUGGCGAAGGCGGGUCUCUGGGCAGUAACUGACGCUGAGGAACGAAAGCGUGGGUAGCGAACAGG
rnacentral:rRNA from 1 species